rnacentral:rRNA from 1 species
AGAGUUUGAUCCUGGCUCAGAUUGAACGCUGGCGGCAGGCUUAACACAUGCAAGUCGAGCGGAGAUGAGGUGCUUGCACCUUAUCUUAGCGGCGGACGGGUGAGUAAUGCUUAGGAAUCUGCCUAUUAGUGGGGGACAACACUUCGAAAGGAAUGCUAAUACCGCAUACGCCCUACGGGGGAAAGCAGGGGAUCUUCGGACCUUGCGCUAAUAGAUGAGCCUAAGUCGGAUUAGCUAGUUGGUGGGGUAAAGGCCUACCAAGGCGACGAUCUGUAGCGGGUCUGAGAGGAUGAUCCGCCACACUGGGACUGAGACACGGCCCAGACUCCUACGGGAGGCAGCAGUGGGGAAUAUUGGACAAUGGGGGGAACCCUGAUCCAGCCAUGCCGCGUGUGUGAAGAAGGCCUUUUGGUUGUAAAGCACUUUAAGCGAGGAGGAGGAGCUCUAGAUUAAUACUCUAGAUGCUUGGACGUUACUCGCAGAAUAAGCACCGGCUAACUCUGUGCCAGCAGCCGCGGUAAUA